UGUAUCCUCCGGGCAUGUCCCGGCCUGUUCCCCUCCCCGCUCCCUGUUUCUCUGCCGAUUGGCUGGAGGAGCUGCAGGAGGAGACAGCCUCCAUUCGCCCCUUCUCUCCCCGUUCCUCCCUCUUUCCCUGUGCCUCUAUCCUGAUUUGCUCCCCCGCUUGUCUGUCUCAUGCUCCACCCUAUGUUCUGGGCCUUUCCCCUCCCGAGCUGAUAAAAGAUCGCAUACACAUGAGGAUAAAGCAUUCCGUCUGCAUCCCGGACUCGUGAGGUGCCACGGUCCCAUCCUCCCCUUCCGGACCGCGGCAAUUUCCUGCUACAGAAAAAGUAUUAACAUCUGACUAUGUGGACUUCAGAUAUGGAAGUCCCAAGUUCCAUUCCUUCCUCUUCUUACUUACCAUCAAACAGGAGAGAUCCUGGAUGAGCAAAUGUUUGCUCCUUUGGGCCUGGUGGAUUGAGCAGAUUUUCCUGUUGGAGUGGUUCUGUUGCAUAAAACCCCAUUCCAGGUUCUGACUCUGAAACACCAAGAGAUCUUCUGCUUUGGCUUUUUUUUUCCUCACCCAACAGACGAACCUCCCCGUUGUUCCUGUGUGAUCUCAGAUCUCUAUGGAUGGUGAAACAUUUGAGGUACAGAAGCUUUUAAAGUGUAUGAAGAAACGAUUAAGUACAUUAUGAAAGCAUUGAGGCCAAAGGAUCUGAGCCAGCUCUUUGCAUACCCAGCUCUAAUGGACCUACUAUUUACCCAGAAUUGAGCAGUAUAAAGCCUUCAUUACCAAUUGUUGGUUAGCUGGGAACUGCAUGUUUUCAAGUGGAGAAUGCACAGGAAUGGAGCUGCUGUGCAAGGCCUGAAGUGCAGAGGGUGGGAGCAGGAGCAUCCUGUGACAGCCCCAGGAACCCCCACCCCUCCUGCCCUGCCAUCACCCCCUGCACACUCAGGGGGUGACUCCUGGGCAGUUCUGGCUGUAAAAGAGAAGUUUCUGUCAGCCCUGCUGGCUGGGACAGGACCAGGGAGGAGCUGCACGGGUGUGUCCAGGAAGGGAGAGUGUCAUGAUUUUCUGACUGAUGUGGAGGAGAUGUUCACUGUCACUGGGGAAACUGUCACUGACAGACACAGAAAUUCAAAUACCGGUUUCUUCUGUGACACUUUUAUCAGGUUAUCCUAAUCUCCCAAGAACACUUAAGGACAGUAAGGCUGUGAAGAAGCAGAGAACUGAAGUUCCAUUACGACCCAGUCUGCAGCUUGUUUAGGACUAAGAUCCAUAGAGCAUGACUCUAACUCAGGUGAAGGUGUGACCCUGCCCUAAGGGAGUAAAUUCUGGAUCAUGCUUCCUCUUCCCUCUGGAACUCUCCAGCCUGAAGAAAACUCCAAAUAAAAUAGGAAAAUAUUAUUAGAAUUGUCACAUCGAAUCAAAGUUUCCAUUCCCCAAAAGCAUUUUUUAAGGUUCUCAUCACACCUUCAUGGGCUGAGGAAACCAGCUCUGGCUCGAAGUCACCCCACCUUUGCAAGAAAUGCUUUUAAACCUACUGGGUGAAUGACUGUUCAAGCCAAGAAUGUUACAGAGAGCCUGUAGGAAGUGGAGAGAUGGAUUGAUCAGCAAACAAAUCUGAAUCAGGAGUCAGAGAGCUUAUGGAGAAAGAAAGAAGUUGCUUUUCUGGCAAAAAAAUGAGUUUAUGCACAAAGCUAUAGGACUGAGAAGCACCAUGAGAAGAGGGAAGAAUGAUAAUAGAGGCUCAUGCAUUUUAGCUUGUAAGUGCCAUUACCUAACAUUUAAGAUACUGUGGGUUUUUCCAGUGCAUGUUCAAUGCUGAAAAGAGAAUAAACAUUGCUGUAGUAUUCCUAGGUAAAUUUUCUGCUUCAGAACUGAUCUAAGAAAUACUCAUUAGUUGUUAAUAUUCAGCUGAAUAAGCAAAUGUCCCUGAGCAGUGUAUUGCACAUACACAGAAAUAACUGGCUGUAUUUGAAGGAGCUUUUGGUGUAACAUGUAUUUCACAAGAAUUGCAAUUGAGAAAUUCUACUUUAGAACUUAAAAAGGAAAAGCUCUGAGACCUCAAUAUUUACAAAGCAGUGAAGGGGUUUUCAGGUUCCAGGAUAUUCAGAACUAGACUUUCAGAACUUUAAAUUAGAGGGUAUGUAGGUGAUCAGCACCUUUUGUUGGUGAAAAAGAGGACAAGAUUUCUGAGCACUACCAGGGAACCUGAAUAAGAGUUUCCUGGAAUGAGUGGAUGAUUAAGAGUAUUUUGUGCAGGUUUCAGUGUCCCUGUCUGUGUGCUGCUCAUGAGGGAAAAGAAAGGAUUCUCCAGAAAAAGAAAGGAUUCUCCAGAAAUUCUUAUCCUGUUGCAAUCUGCCUGGCUGAGGCCAGGAAGACAAGAUAUGAGAGAUGUUUUCAGUGGAUACAAAACCCAGGUGAUUAAAACUCAUUUAAGAAAAAACACAUAAAGGAAUUUGCAGGACAGGAAAGCAAAACAUGACUGUAGUUGGACAGUAGAAAAACAUGAUUAGGGGACCUUCUACCCCAAAUCCAAACUGCUGUGGCCCCAGGGUGCAAAGGCCAGCCUUGUAUGAGAGUUCUGCUCCCUCAGACUCGCUCGGGGGUUGUGAGGGGUUUGUUUUCUGCUCUUUGGCACUGUCAGACUGUGCCUGUUCUCUGCCAUUUGCAUAAACUCUCCAUUGACUAUUCUGUUCAGCUUCAGAGAAAUUGCUCUCAAUUCCUGUCAAUUUUUACAGAAUAUCACAUUAUGAUGUUUCUUAAGCUCUUUGGAUAAAACUGUGGUAGGAAUACAAUUAUCUAUAAAAUGUAGGUUGGGCCUCUAAACUACAUAAUGUCCUGCUAAAUCCCUUAAAACCAAGGCAUUCCCUGAAGGCUCCCUGGAAUGAUGUCUGACUUGAGGCUGUGUGAACAGUAACAGGAUGUGGCCUAGCAGUUUUAGGGGAAUAAACUUCUCCAGGCUUGUUCCACAUGGGAGUUUUGUGCUCUUAUACUUGGCUGUAAUUGAUUUUUUUUUGAAGACUUUGAGGGAAAAAAAUGAAGAAGCAAAGGAAAUCAAAACACCACCAAAAUACCUGUUAUAAAAAUAACUUAUCUCCAUGUAGUUGAUAUGGGGAUGAAGUUCUCUGCUCUGCAUUUAAGCAGUAGCAGUGUUCUCUAAUGCCUGCUUCAGUCAGAUUGAAAUACUCCCAUUUAUUUCAUUGGACCCAGUAGGUACAUUCAGUUCUGGUGCACUUCCCCUGAAAGGAACCCUUGGGAUUUAUUUGGACAAAAUAAUUUGACCUUAAGGUGACU